rnacentral:lncRNA from 1 species
AUUUAAACAGGGCUGCCAUACAUCCGGAUUUCCCCAAACAUUCCCGGGAUUUCAAAGGCGGAAUUGAUGUCCAGGAGGAAUUUCCAAAAGGUGGCACUUUGUCCUGGAUCUUAGACAAGAAAUUGUGGGGUGGGGGUUUUGGGGGGCGUUUUUGAAAUAUGGCAACCCUAAUUUAAAGCACGCAUCCCACUCCCGACCCAAAAAUCAUGCGAACUGUAGUUUACCCUUCACAUAACUACAAUUCCCAGCGCUCUUAACAAACUACAGCUCCUAUAAUCAGGGGUGGGGAGUGUGCUUCAAAUGCAUUGUGUGUACCCAGCCCCAAACAGUUUCAACACAUGUUGCCUGCAAAGGUAUGUAGUGCGGGGGCAGCCAAUGUCAUUGGACCCCCUGCUUCCAUCUUCCCCAGCUAGCUGCAGACCAGCAACAUCUAGAGGACCACAGGUUCUCCACCCCUGUCAUAGUAUGUCUGUUUUAGUUCCACACAGCACUCACAACCUACCACAAGCAUAGCCUAGGGAUGGGCAUUUACACGUCACUGAAAAAGAGGAGAGGAGAGGACACUAAUUUGGAUAAGCUGGUUGAUUGCAAGUAUAUAAGUAUAGAUGCAAUUUUCUAAAUUAUUACAAUUUAAAUAAAAAUGCAUCUUGCAACUAUUACUAUUACUAUAUACCCCACCAUUUCCCCUGAUGGGACCCUGUCCUUGUGAGGAAGACCUUGGUCAGGUGCCUGGGUGCCUGCUCAUCCUGCUGUCCAGGUGCUAACUUCAAGAAUCCUGCUCUUCCUACUUCUACCUUUAAACCAGACUUGGAUCUGGCAGGCCUUCAAAAACAACCCUGUCCUCUGCAUUGUAGGACACGUGGUCACCUUGCCUAUCAAGUAAAAAAGAUCUGGGCACCCCCAAUCAGUGUCACCCAACUGGAACAAUACUGGGGAGGGGAAAAACAGGCUACCAGAGAACGCAAUGCAUUGAGGUUUUGUAGCCAUUGCUUAUUAUUUCAGGUUCACUUCUUUGCAGGUCACUCGUUCUUUUCAGUAUCUACACUAUUAAGAAACAAGUGACAGCUCACGUCAGUAGAGGACGAGACUCUUAAUCUCAAGGUUAUGAGUUUGAGCCCCAUGUUGAGUUAAAGAUUCUUGCAUUGCAGAGGGGUGGACUAGAUGACCCUUUGGGCCCCUUGCAACUCUACAAGUCUGUGAUUCUGUGAAAGCCACAGCUCAUAUGCAAGCCUGUUCCUCUCCCCUUCUAUCCAAUUCCAGAGAGACGAGAUUUAGCACUGUUGUAUCUUUUAAAGAGAUUUGCAGUGUAUUGCACUCAAGUUAAAAUGAUAGUGACUCAAAUUUCCCUGAUGGUACAUAAAAGCCCCUAGAGAAGCCAGAAAUCACGAGACUUGUCAUUAAAAUGUCAAGGACCCAACAUUCACUUUUCUCAAAGGGUAUAAAGCUUUGGAAUGUUGCUGGGGAAAGUGCUGGGUCAAUAGCAAUAUUCAGCUUUAAGCAUCUCUCUCAUCAUGUCAGGAGGGAUCAUCAAUAUGGAAUUUUUAGGAACAUGCAAAUGAGCAAGGUAUUUGAUUCCCAGUGGCUUCUUUUCGCAGAUCUUUUACAGACCUGCUUUGAUAGUUUGCCAGCAUGCUCAGCAGGAAUUACCUCCAAAAGCAGUCCACCUAUGUUACAAACAUCCUCCCAUACCACCAUCUUUAUAAUCUUGACAGUAGAUUGAAGACACAUUGCAAUAAUUACAUGUGUCAUUUAUAUUUUUGGAAGGGGGGGGGAUUUUGUUCCGCUUUCUUGAUUACUGAGAUUUUCCGCUCCCCACCAAAUCCACAAGCAUUGGGUGUGGAUCCACAUGGGUGGCGCUGUGGUCUAAACUACUGAGACUCUCGGGCUUGCCGAUCAGAAGCUCAGCAGUUUGAAUCCCCACAAUGGGGUGAGGUCCCAUUGCUCCUUCCCAGCUCCUGCCAACCUAGCAGUUCAAAAGCACACCAGUGCAAGGAGUCUGCGGACAAAUGCCAGCUCCCUCGAUCUGAAAGUGAGAUGAGAGCCUCAACGCCAUAGUCGCCUUUGGCUGGACUUAACCGUCCAGGGGUCCUUUACCUUUACACAUGGGUGUAUACACAUUUGUGCAACGCCAUAACCUUCCACUGCAAAGAGGUUCUAGCAUUUUGCUCUUUUAUAGGCUUGAAGAGAAGGGAGAAAUAAGCAGAGUGAGCCACACAACUAAGGCCCAGUAGAGAUGAAGGCAACGAUUAAUAUGACUCUUCUCAGAGGACUCUUUCCGAGGACUGAAGAAGCAGUUAAGUGCUAUAGUGUGGUUCUCACAAGCAUGGAG